CGUUAGCAGACGUCAGUGUCGGCGCGCCCACCCGCCGGCGUCCGACAGCGCAGCACCGACUCGCCGCACACGAGUAGCGCACACAACAGCUGCAAGCGAGCCUGUUGUUAUUGUUACAGCCACCAUACGCAGACUAGAUCAAUAACGUACAUAGUCUGAGCGCCACGUAAUUCGGCCCUGACCCUCAAGCCACAGGCACGAGCGCAGCAUGCGGCUGAUCAUCCUGGAGGACGCGGGCGUGGUGGCGGACUGGGCGGCGCGCUUCGUGCUGCAGCGCAUCACGCAGUUCGCGCCCGGCCCCGGCCGCCACUUCGUGCUGGGGCUGCCCACGGGCGGCACGCCGCUCGGCAUGUACCGCCGCCUCAUCGACUUCUACAAAGAAGGCCGCCUCUCUUUCAAAUACGUCACUACCUUCAAUAUGGACGAGUAUGUCGGUCUACCGCGCGACCACCCGGAGUCGUACCACUACUACAUGUGGAACGAGUUCUUCAAGCACGUGGACAUCGAGCCGGGCAACGCGCACGUGCUGGACGGCAAUGCGUCCGACCUGGUGGCCGAGUGCAAGCGCUUCGAGGAGCUGAUCGCGGCCGCGGGGGGCGUGCACCUGUUCAUCGGCGGCAUCGGGCCGGACGGGCACAUCGCCUUCAACGAGCCCGGCUCGUCGCUGGUCUCCCGCACGCGCGUCAAGACGCUCGCCUACGACACGCUGGAGGCCAACAAGCGCUUCUUUGGCAACGACAUCAGCAAGGUGCCGCGCCAGGCGCUCACGGUGGGCGUGGGCACCGUCAUGGACGCCAAGGAGGUGAUGAUCCUCAUCACGGGCGCGCACAAGGCGCUGGCGCUGGCCAAGGCGGUGGAGGAGGGCGUCAACCACAUGUGGACGGUGUCGGCCUUCCAGCAGCACUCGCAGGCGCUGUUCGUGUGCGACGAGGACGCCACGCUCGAGCUGCGCGUCAAGACCGUCAAGUACUUCAAGGCGCUGAGCGAGGAGCAUCAGCGGAUGAUCCAGCGCCGCGUCGAGGAGCAGCGCGUCAUACACUGACCUCACUCGCAUUCCACCACCACCGGCUCAACUAACCUCUCGUCGAGUGACUGCCUUAGCAACGCACACUCAUGGAUACAGAUGCUGCACUGUAGAGCAUCGCGUGUCCGUGAGCGUGUUGUCGUAAAACACUCGCCAUGAUGCGGUUAUGUUGCAGAGCCUCAUGACGGAGCACAACAAGCUGCUCGAGAUCAUCGCGCGGUGACUCCGGCGCCGCCCCGCUACCGACGCGCGCCUUACAUCUUAUAUACAAUGUUAUCAAUUUUAUAUUAUAUCGAUCUAAUUAAAGAAUACAUUUUUAUACUGUAA